GGGGAAUUACAAGUCCUCUUGUGAUUCAUCAGCAACGUGCAGGAAUAAUUCUAAGUCAGCAAAAUUUUGAACAGUAUCUUUCAUCUGUGUGAAUUGAUCUGUUAACUAACAAGGUAUGUACAAAAACCGCUGACAGGAUUUGAAGCUUAAGAAUGAGAGUAUCGGUGUCUGGAAAAAAUGAAGUUAAGUGGCUGGGGUGAAAGCUGGGUUACCCUGAGCCAUGGAUGGCAGCUGGGAAAGAGGCCACGUGUCAUCUGGCAUCAGCAGUACACCUCAGUGCAUUCCUUCUCAGGUGAGUGGAACUGGGGUUUGUGCUCACCUCUUGCAUAAACAACAAAUCAGUUAAAUACUUCGUCUUUGUGACUGUGGCAACUUCUUGAGAUGUUUGUAAGCUCAUGCUUCUUUUCUGACCAAUUUUGUGCAUGUUUUAUGCAACAGAAAAUUGCAGAAAUGUUUUGAUCUAUUGAGUGGAGUGCUUUUCCUCGUGCAACAUCCAGUGGUGUCUAAGCCAAUUAACCCUUUUUUAAAAUGCUGUCACC
rnacentral:lncRNA from 1 species